UGGGGAAUUUUGGACAAUGGGGGCAACCCUGAUCCAGCCAUCCCGCGUGUGCGAUGAAGGCCUUCGGGUUGUAAAGCACUUUUGGCAGGGAAGAAACAGCCUGGGCUAAUAUCCCGGGCGACUGACGGUACCUGCAGAAUAAGCCACGGCUAACUACGUGCCAGCAGCCGCGGUAAUACGUAGGUGGCAAGCGUUGUCCGGAUUUACGGGGCGUAAAGGAUGCGUAGGCGGAUACUUAAGUCAGAUAUGAAAAUCCCGGGCUUAACUUUGGAACUGCAUUUGAAACUGGGUAUCUAGAGUGCGGGAGAGGAAAGUGGAAUUCCUAGUGUAGCGGUGAAAUGCGUAGAGAUUAGGAAGAACACCAGUGGCGAAGGCGACUUUCUGGACCGUAACUGACGCUGAGGCAUGAAAGCGUGGGGAGCAAACAG
rnacentral:rRNA from 1 species